rnacentral:tRNA from 1 species
GUGAGAGUGGUUUAAUGGCAGAACGCCGGUAUGCCAAGCCGGAGACAGGAGUUCGAUUCUCCUCUUUCGCU